ensembl:lncRNA
CUACGAGAUCCGCGUCCUGCCCCCCGCCCCCCGCGCCCCCCCGUUCCUCUUCACGGUCAGCCCCAUCUCCCUGGACCCCCAAAUCCGGGGGUGCCCUGGGUGGGGGGGAGGGGGCCCGGACACCUGAGCCCCGUCUACCGAGGACCCCCCCAUUCCCAGGCUGAACAUCCCGGGAUGCGGACGUACUGCCUGGGGGCUGAGACCCCUGAGGAACUGCACGCCUGGGUCCGCGCCCUGCGCCGGGGGGCAUCGCCCCUGCCCGGCUCCCCCCGCUCCGUUCCCCAGCAGACACUCCAGGAACUCCGAGGUGCAGAUCCUCCCUCUCCCUCACUGCACACACACUCUCCAGGUGAGGGGCUCGGGGGCCCACCCGUGCCCCCUCCUUGCUGCCCCGCAGGCCCUCCACUGCCCCACAGCCAGGUACCUCCAGCCCAGGAGGAGCCCCCGGUACGGGGAUGUCCCCCGAGGGCCGGGCACACGCCGACGGGACCGCGGGAACCUCCCGAGCCCGUUCCCGCAGGUGAGACCCGGCCACGCCCCGGCCACACCCCUCGGUGGAGGGACACCGCCCAUUCUGACCCCGCCUCCAUAGGGCGGAGCCCGAGGAAGCCCCGCCCCUCUGGAGCACCUCCGCAGCCGCCGCCGGAGCGAGUCAUCGGGAGCGAUCGGCCGCCGGCCUCUCCAGCCGCCUCUUCUGAUUGGCUGCCGAGCCCUGACGGGCCCGCGGGCACCGCCUCCGCGCCGGCAUCCAAUGAAGCGUCGCAGCGGCGGCGGGCGGGGGCGGGUGGGCGUGGCUGGGCGCGCGAAGGUGUGGCCGGGCGGCCAAUCAGAAUCACUCUGCUGCAGGCCAGCUUCUAAGGGGGCGGAGCCGGGCCGAGGGGGCGGGGCCCGGUGGGCACGCGCCGCGCGCGGCCCCGCCCCGGUGCGGAAGAUGGCGGCGGGAGCGCGCGGCGGGAGCGCGGCGCUGCGGCGGCUGCGGGGCGGGGGCGCGGGCGCGGCCCCGCGGGGCGCGCGGUGAGUGGGGACCCCCCGGGCGGGGACCCCUGGAACCCCCGCCCUGAGAGCCCCUGAGGCAUCCUCGGAUCCCUCAUCCUCCCCCGCACUAUGCGUGCACCCCGCUCCCCGCAUCUCCCCCGCGGGGACACGCCGCAUCCUCCCCCCUGGACCCUGCAGCUCCCUCGGACCCCGCAUCCCUCCUGCUCCCCGCAUCCCCCCGGGCGGAGACCCCACCUUUGAGCCCUUGAGGCCCAGGUCUCCUCCGCUUUUCGCAUCCUCCGGGCGAGGACACUCGCAUCCCGCUCCCCUGAGCCCUCCCAUUCCCCCCCGGACCCCGCAUUCCCCCCGAACUCCGCAUCCCCCCGGACCGGGACACCCGUAUCCCCUCUUCUGAGACCCCUGAUCCCCACCCUUGUUCCCGCAUGCCCCCCUCUUCCCGCAUCGCUUCGGGAGGGGACCCCCGCACCCCACUGCUUUCCUGAUCCUUCCCCCUGAUCCCCGCAUCCUCCCCGGACUCCGGACCCUGCAUCUCCUCGGGUCGGGACACCCACACCCCGCUACCCUGACCUCCCCUGGACCCCUCAUCCCCUCCGGACCCCGGAGCCCCCCGCUGCCCGACUCCCCCCGGGCAGGGACCCCACACCCCCCGCCCCUGAGCCCCCUGAGCCCUCCCCUAAGCCCGCGGCCCUCCCGGACCCCGCGGGCGGCCCCCAGAGUGGCCCCACGGUCGUUGCCUCGCUGGGGACAAAGGUCUGGCCGCAGCUGGACCCGGGGCCGAGGGGCCCCGUCCUCCCCCCGCCACUGCCCUGGUGGGGAACCCGGCCUUCUCCGGGGCACCGGAGCCACCCCUGGGGCUGCCGGGGAACCGCGGGGGACAGGCUGGGGGGCUGCUCCCAUCGCCCCCUGUCCCCUUGUCACCUUGCCCGUGGAAGGGUCACCAGCACCAGAACGGCCCCUGGGCCAAGGGGAUCCUAUGGGGGAAUGCCCCCAUUGCCCCAUGUCCCCUUUCCCGUGGAGGGGUCACUGUCACUGGAGGGGCCACUGGGGCUGAGGGGGCUCCCGUGUGGGCUGUCCCCUUUGUCCCACACCCCCACUCCAGUGUCCUUGUUCGUUUGGGCCGCAUAGCCAAAACCCCUCUGAAUUCAUGGGGACAGACUGGAACUGGGGACAGACUCACCCCAGAACGGGGACAGGGCGCCCAGAAUGAACUGAGCAGAGGCCGAUGAAGUCCUGG